CCUACGGGUGGCAGCAGUGAGGAAUAUUGGUCAAUGGGCUUACGCCUGAACCAGCCAAGUCGCGUGAGGGAAGACUGCCCUAUGGGUUGUAAACCUCUUUUGUCAGGGAGCAACGCCGGCUACGUGUAGCCGGACUGAGUGUACCUGAAGAAAAAGCAUCGGCUAACUCCGUGCCAGCAGCCGCGGUAAUACGGGGGAUGCGAGCGUUAUCCGGAUUUAUUGGGUUAAAAGGGUGCGUAGGCGGAAUGCCAAGUCAGCGGUAAAAUCGCGGGGCGAAACCUCGCUCCGCCGUUGAAACUGGCAGUCUUGAGGGGGCGAGAAGUAUGCAGAAUGCGUGGUGUAGCGGUGAAAUGCAUAGAGAUCACGCAGAACUCCGGUUGCGAAGGCAGCAUACCGG
rnacentral:rRNA from 1 species